CCUCCAAUAUUUUUGGCUGACUGAGUCUACUCCCCUUUUCACAUACCCAAUCAUGGCGGAAAGUUAAUGGAACCCAAAGAAAGCCAAAAUUUCCAUAGAAUAAAGCAGAAUUUUCUCACACAACUAGCGAAAACAAAUCAAGCGCAAAACUUGCAGCAAGGACUAACAAAGACAGACAAGGACACAACGAAUUGAGAGAAAGGAAGGGAAUAGGGAGCUUGCAAGGAUACGAUGGCCGUAAGGACAAUGCUAAUGCCGUUCGCUCAAGUGCCAUCAGUGCAGGCCUUGUAGUGUCAUAUAAAGUCUAAACAAAGGUAAUAAAUAAGUUUGCCAUUCUUGUCAUACACUUGCCAAAGAAAUUUGUCUUUAAAUAUGGUUUUAUA